rnacentral:rRNA from 1 species
GCGGGCGUUAUUCGCUUUGAUUGGGUGUAAAGGGUAUGUAGAUGGAAUUUGGUUCUUUGGCACAAAGCGCGGAGUGUUCCUAUGCGAUUGCCUUUCGGAAAGAAAUCUCGAGUCAUAGAUAGAUAGGAGCAAAUUCUUAUGUAGGGGUAAAAUCCUGCCAGAUAAGAAUGAACACCAGUAGGCGAAGGCGUCUUUUCGGUUAUGACUGACAUUAAGGUACGGAAGCCUGGGGAGCAAACGGG